rnacentral:rRNA from 1 species
AGUGAACGCUGGCGGCAGGCCUAACACAUGCAAGUCGAACGGCAGCACAGCAGUAGCAAUACUGUGGGUGGCGAGUGGCGGACGGGUGAGGAAUACAUCGGGAUCUACCCGGUUGUGGGGGAUAACGUAGGGAAACUUACGCUAAUACCGCAUACGACCGAGAGGUGAAAGCAGCGGACCGCAAGGCGUCGCGCGAUCGGACGAACCGAUAUCGGAUUAGCUAGUUGGUGAGGUAAAGGCUCACCAAGGCGACGAUCCGUAGCUGGUCUGAGAGGAUGAUCAGCCACACUGGAACUGAGACACGGUCCAGACUCCUACGGGAGGCAGCAGUGGGGAAUAUUGGACAAUGGGCGCAAGCCUGAUCCAGCCAUGCCGCGUGUGUGAAGAAGGCCUUCGGGUUGUAAAGCACUUUUGUUGGGGAAGAAAAGCAUUCGGUUAAUACCCGGGUGUUCUGACGGUACCCAAAGAAUAAGCACCGGCUAACUUCGUGCCAGCCGCCGCAGUAA